UGGAAAUGAUGAAAUAGAGGUCAUGAGGUGGAUGUGCUGUGUGUAUGCGGGAGGAUGGAAAUCUUUAUUUAAAUGGAAAAGUAGAAGGGGUGGGUGGAGUGUGUGUGUGUGCUCAUGCAUGUAUGUAGAAGCUCUAUAUGGUGCAAAUUAUGGGUACUGAAAGACACUGCUGAUUUCGGAGUGCAUCUGAGGAGUUGCAAAAUCAUGGGGUCUUUACUGCAACAUUGCCAAUGAUUAGAGACCCAAUUAAGCUCAUAAUUUGCAUCAAGGAAUUUUAAACCUCUAACAGGUUCAUUUUGUCAUACAAAGGAACUUGUGAUCUGAUCUAA